rnacentral:misc_RNA from 1 species
UGGCGCGCGCGCGCGUGUGUGGGCAGGCGAUAAGUGUGCGGGCAGGGAAGGACGCUGCGGCCGACGUCGUCCCCGAGGCACCCGGGAACCCAGAGCGGAGACCGCGCCUCCUGGGCGAGCCUCGGUCGAGCGGCCGCCAUCUUCUCGGCCGCGACUCGGCGCCGACCUUCGGAGGUGAGCGCGCGACCCGCUGGCUCUGUCUCGGAUCCUGGGUCGCGCGAGCGCGAGCGCACUCGGCCUCUCGCGCGUGUGUGGCAACUGUUUACAAGCGGGCCACGUGGGUGUGCGUCGCGUCGUGUCGGUCGUGUCCGGUCGUGUCGCCGAGGGCAGCCAUUGCCCCCGCGUAUAUCGGGCGCACGGGCCAUGGCGCGAGUGUGUCGAUAGGCGAGCGCGUCCGCCGCGGAGUGUGCGCGCGAGGGAGAGGGCCGUCGCCGUCGCGUAUCGAGCACCCUGGUGUCCGCGUGCACCGCGGUGUAUAUAAACAGAGUGAGAGGCGCGUUCGCCGCGGAGCAUGUGUCUCGUGAGGUAGCGAGGCGAGGGGCCUCGCAGCAAGGGAGGAAUGACAGCGACUCCCGGGGGUUCCGGGGAGGUUAGGACGCGCUACCUGGCCGCCAUUACGAGUCGAGGGCACUGGAUGUUGACAGCGAGUUCCUGGAGAGGUUGAAAGGUCCGCGAGGGGCCCCAAAGUGACAGCGAGGGCGAGGAGAGGUUAGGUCGCGCACCCUGGCGGCCAUUACGCGCGUCGGAGUCGAUAUUGACAGCGGGUUCCUGAAGAGGUUAGACGCGACCUGGAGCCUGGUGAUCGAGAAGGAGAGUGAGAGGUCAGACGCAACCUGGAGCCUGUAGAACGAGAAGGAGAGCGGGAGAUUAGACGCGGCCUGGAGCACGAGAAGGGACGGCGAAUCCUCGAAGAGGUUAGGAAGCGCACCCUGGCCGCCAUUUCACGCGACGGAGAGAUCCUCUAGAGGUUAAAUCGACCAUCCUGGAUGGGAAAUGUAGCAGGUGACCCAGACUUCUUGAGGAGGUUAAAGUCUGCGAUCCGAUGAGCACUCACAUCCUGAAGAGCUUUAGCGAGUAAUUGUCAGGCAUAAGGAAGAGUUAUAAGUGUGUCAAGAGCGCGCAUAUGAAUCCAAGAGACAAUCGAGCAAGGCGCGUCGGAGACACGUGAUCGCCGUUACGUCAUCAAGGAGAAGAGGGGCCAGCGGAUCCACAUUGGAGACGUAGACUCGAGGCAAGAUGGAGCUACGACUCCAUUCUCCUGCUGGAGCGGAGCCCAUCGUCUAUCAGUGGCCGCUCACCUCUGGCUCGGGAUCGGAUCGCCACGACGGUGCUCUGGACGUCGUCGAAACCAUGAGGUGGGUCUGCGAGGAUUUGCCGGAUUUGAAAUUACCACUGGAGAAUAAUAUACUCUGUAAUUACGAUACACGGGAUUAUGAGAGUAUGAAGAACCUAUGCGAUAGAUUCAAUCGGGCCAUCGACAGCUUGGUACAGUUGGAGAAGGGAACCAGCCUGCCUUCGCAGCGUCUCAACAAGAGACCAAGUAGAGGCUUGCUUCGCCAUAUACUGCAGCAAACUUACAAUCAGGCAGUCAUCGAGCCGGACAAGCUGAACCAGUACGAACCGUUUUCCCCUGAGGUCUAUGGAGAAACGAGUUACGAGCUCGUUUGCCAGAUGAUCGAUCAGAUCGAUGUAACCGAGGACGACAUUUUCGUCGACUUGGGCUCUGGAGUGGGUCAGGUGGUGCUACAAAUGGCUGCGGCUACGCUUUGCAAAAUCUGCAUUGGCGUCGAGAGAGCUGACGUACCUUCGAAAUAUGCCUUGAGCAUGGAGGUUAACUUCCGUAAAUGGCUCAGCUGGUACGGAAAGCGUUGCGGAGAUUAUCGGCUGAUCAAGGGAGACUUCCUGGCGGACGAGCACCGGGAGAGCAUCACCGGGGCGACGAUAGUCUUCGUGAAUAAUUUCGCCUUCGGCCCGACCGUGGAUCACCAGCUGAAGGAGAGAUUCGCCGAUCUUCGAGAUGGCGCUCGCAUAGUUUCCUCCAAGUCCUUCUGUCCCCUCAACUUCCGGAUCACGGAUCGGAAUUUGAGCGACAUAGGAACGAUAAUGCACGUAUCGGAGAUGUCUCCCUUGAAGGGUUCGGUAUCCUGGACCGGGAAGCCAGUGUCCUAUUACUUGCAUGUCAUCGAUCGGACCAAGCUGGAGAGAUACUUCCAUCGGCUGAAGAACAAUAAGCAGGGGGGACUGGACGAGAACUCGGACUCCGUGAUCAACAAUAUUCCUGGGAGCAACAAUAAGAUACCCAGGAACGAGAAGGCGGAUAGAGCGAAGAAGGACCUCUCCAGGCAGCUGGACAGUCCUAACCAGUCGGAGCAUCUUAACACCAACAGCGAAUCAGAUGGAGACGAUGGGUCUUCCAAGAGACGCAGGCAGACUUCGAAGAUCAGAAGGAAGCUGAAUAGGAAGCCCUCGAAUGGAAUGGCCAGGCCUGGAGCCAGGGGAAGGCAGCGAGGCAGGGGCAUGAAGAAGUCCAGACCACGGAAGGCUAUCAACAUCUCUGGAUUGGAUCUGCUCCACAGUCAAACCCUCCUCAGCACCUCUCCGCAGGCUCUGGGAAAGAAACCACCACCUGCUCCUGGAUGCAUCGACCAGCAGCUCUCUUCGCUGUCUCUGUCUCUCCAGUCCAAUUCCCUUUCGGUGCACGAAGAGCUGUCGAUACCUCAGGCUCCUGCUGCCACUCCCUAUGCACUCCAAAUUCUCCUCGAUCUGUACAGAGACCAGUUCAUGGCGAUGUUGGAGUCGAUGAGGACGCCGGCGUACCGGAUCACGGUGAACACGAACAUCACCCGGGAGCGGGAGAGGAACUCGAAGCUGCAAUCGAGGGCGGCGCAGCUGGAGAAGCAGAUCAAGGUGCUGAUCGACGACAGCGUCGCUCUCUUGAAGGCGCGGAUGACGGAGUUGGGGAUCAACGCGACGUCCCCGGGGGACCUGCUGGCGAAGGCCAAGGAGAUCGUCCUGAGGCACAAGCAGCUCCAGGCGAAGGCGAGCAAGCUGCAGGCCCAGGUCUCGUCGAUGGAGGCCGAGCAGUCGAGGCUCACCGCCAUCAGGCACCAGGAGCUGCAGGAGAAGUACAACGGCCACGGGGGCAUGAACGGGCCCCAGCCGCUCACCCAGGACUACAUCCUGAAGGAGAUCUCGACUACCCUAUCCCAGAGGAAGAAGCUGCACUGCCAGGUGUCCAGGUUGGAGCACGAGUUGAAUGCCCUGGAGCGCGCCAGCAACGAGAAGCAGGCCGCUGUCCUGGUGCAGCAGCAACAGCGAGAGCUGGCCGGAGGGAAGCACCUGCAGCAGCCUCAUCUGGUGCAACAGCAGCAGCAGCAGCAGCAGCAGAAGCCCCCGGCCUCCCGGAAGAACCGAGAGGGCAGGUCCAGGUCGCAGGAAUGGCCGGACGUCCCGGACAUCGGGAAGAUCCAGGAGAACAACCCGGAGAUCCUGGCCAGGAAGAUCCUGGAGACGGGCCGGCAGAUCGAGGCUGGCAGGAUCCCGGUCAGGCAAGGUCCGGCCGCCCCUCGCGCCCGUCUGCCUGGGCCCGGGUUCUCCUCCUCGUCCUCCACCUCCUCCUCCUCGUCCUCCGCAUCGGAAAAGGCCCAGGUCGCGGCCAAACCGCAGGAACCUCCCAGGGUAGCCAACUUUGAGGACAGGCUCAAGAGCAUCAUCACCAGCGUCCUCAACGAGGACCAGCAGAACAGGAACAAACAGCAGCAGCAACAGCAGCAGCAACAGCAGCAGCAGCAGCAGCAGCAGCAGCAGCAACAACAACAGCAGCAACAACAGCAGCAGCAGCAACAACAGCAGCAGCAGCAGAUGCAGGCCCAGCAGGCUGAGCCCGAGAGAAAGAGGGUCACGUUGCUGCAGAACUCCGCCACUCCGGAUUACACCCAGGUAUCCCCGGCGAAGCUGGCGCUGCGGCGACACCUGUCGCAGGAGCGACUCUCGUCGCAUCUGUCGGCCCCGGAGCGGGCGGACCGGGCGGACCGGGCCGACCGGAUGGAGCGACAACAGGUCCAGAGCCACGAGGGUGGCCGGCCGCAGACCGGAGUCGGUCUGCUGGGGACUAGGACGAUCGGCGACCUCGUCAGCGGGGAGAUCGAGCGCACCCUGGAGAUCUCGAACCAGUCGCUGACGACCCCCUCGGCGGUGGACAUGAGCGCGGCCAUGAGGCCGGAGGCGAUCUACUCGCCGAUCAGCAGGCCGGCCAGCGCGGAGGGCGACGCGGGGUUGGCCACCCUGGCCCACGUGGCUAGCUAUGUGCCCACGUCGGCCGCCUCGGGCGCCGCGGGCGCUCCCGCGGGGGGCCCGGGGGCGAAUGCCCCUCCGGGCCCCGCCGCGAGGUCCUCCGUUCUGUUCACCCCGGUCACGCAGCCCCAGAGGUACGUGCCGGUGCAGCUGCCCAGGGCGGACAUUAAGCCCUACCACGAGUCCUACUUCUGCGACAGCCCUUCCUCGCAGCCGCACUCCUCGGCGAUGGUCUACCACCACCCUACUUCCCAGGCCUCCGCCAACGACGACCUUCUACCCGUAGAGGGCCUGGCCGCCUCUCUGCACGCCAAGAUCCUCAACAGCCAUGGACCCGGGAAGAGCGAGCCGAGCGCCUCCGGGAAGAGAUACCAGCCUUACCCACGGUACACGAGUUGCAACAGCGGAAGCGGCGCGACCACGCCGACGCAGUCGCAGGCGGUCGUGUCGGUGAAGACGGAGGCGGCGGUAGUUCCGUCGGUGACCACCAGCGGCGCUCCGCUCAGUCCAACGAUCGAGCCGCACUCCAACACCUCCACGCCCCUGGUGGACGAACCCAAUAUGACGGCGCACCGACAACGGAACGCGGCAGGAGACGACGACGGCGAGGCGGACUGGCAGGACAGAAUCAGCUCGGGGUUCGACCGGCUGGUGGCGUUCGCGUCGACGGAGCUGGACAAGCGCCGACGAUCGACGGAGGGCGUGAACACGAGCCCCGACAGCGGCCUGGGCUCGGAGACCGCAGCGACGGGACCGCCGCCGGUCGUCCUGUCCCCGGAUGAGGCCCUGGGGCCUCCUCGCACCCCCUCGCCGACCAGCCCCCGGCCCCCGAACCCCCUCGCGGGCGCCUCCGUCCCUUUCAAGUACCAGCGCCAGCCCGACCACGAGCGGCACCACUUCAAGAAGAAGUUCUUCCACCGCGACUGGAGCAACUCCGCGGGCAACGGUGAGCCCGGCCGCCGAGCGGACACCCUGGAGGUCUUGAAACGUCCGAGGCUUGGUUAGCGGACUCUAUUCCCUAACGAAAGUGCCGAAUUUUUUCUAUUUGCCGUGGAAGUACGUCUUUCCGAUCGUUUACAUGGCUAAUGCUUUAGCUGACCAGCCGCACAUCAGGACCAACUACAGUCCUUACAACGCGGAGGGUCGAUUCCGGCACGAGGAUACCAUGAAUAAUCGCGAAUCCAUGGUGAAUAAACAACGGUAGACCCGAAG